GCUUCUUCCUGGUGAACUUUCUGAUUAAGUUAUAGUCAAAUGGAUAAACCAGUAACCAAGAUGGGAGAUGCCCCUCUGGACUUGCAAGCUCAGGUUGCUAGAGGAGAGCAUAAGGAAAGUAAGAGAACAAGAGAAUGAAAAGAGAAGCUGCAGUUACGUUAAAAAGGAAUCGCAAGAAGAACAAAAACAACAGACAAACUGGAACAAAAUUCUCUGUUUAAUUUAAUUGAAAUUGUUAUUCACAAGUAUUAUAUGCUAGUUUUAACCAUAUGUUAAAAUUUACCAAAAGCUUAAAAAAUACUAUUGAAUAUG